AUUUAGAACGACAUGAUGAAGAGUAAAUAAAGAUAAUUACACAUUUUUGGAGAAAAAAAAAUCAUACUAGAUAGAUAAAUAGGUAAGAUAGGUAAGCAAAUAGAUAGAUAGAUAGAUAGAUAGAUAGAUAGAUAGAUAGAUAGAUAGAUAGAUAGAUAGAUAGAUAGAUAGAUAGAUAGUAUUUAUGCCAACCAUCGCUUGUUUUAAACUGUACUCAUUUCAGACAUAGAAGAUUUACAACAGGGGAUGGAGGGCUGAGGAUCUCCUCUCUGUGUGUUAAAGGGGUUGUGCAGUGCAGACCAGCAUCUCCCGCUGUCCCGCUGCUGGAAAUUUUCAGUGCUGAUGGAGCUAUUGAUCAUGCACACAUUAAAAUGAUGUCUGCUUCUCUAAACGCCAACGACAGAGAGGUUAAACUGAAUUGCAGUAGCCUGCCUAUGAUUAGACUUAAGACAUAG
rnacentral:lncRNA from 1 species